GAUGAAGAACGUAGCGAAAUGCGAUAAGUAAUGUGAAUUGCAGAAUUCAGUGAAUCAUCGAAUCUUUGAACGCACAUUGCGCCCCCUGGUAUUCCGGGGGGCAUGCCUGUUCGAGCGUCAUUACAACCCUCAAGCUCUGCUUGGUAUUGGGCCCCGCCAGUUCUGGCGGGCCCUAAAGUCAGUGGCGGUGCCUUCCGGCUCCGAGCGUAGUAAUUCUUCUCGCUCUGGAGACCCGGUUGUGUGCUUGCCAACAACCCCCAAUUUUUAAGGUUGACCUCGGAUCAGGUAGGGAUACCCGCUGAACUUAAGCAUAUCAAUAAGCGGAGGA
rnacentral:misc_RNA from 1 species